rnacentral:rRNA from 1 species
GACGAACGCUGGCGGCGUGCUUAACACAUGCAAGUCGAACGGAAAGGCCCUGCUUUUGUGGGGUGCUCGAGUGGCGAACGGGUGAGUAACACGUGAGUAACCUGCCCUUGACUUUGGGAUAACUUCAGGAAACUGGGGCUAAUACCGGAUAGGAGCUCCUGCUGCAUGGUGGGGGUUGGAAAGUUUCGGCGGUUGGGGAUGGACUCGCGGCUUAUCAGCUUGUUGGUGGGGUAGUGGCUUACCAAGGCUUUGACGGGUAGCCGGCCUGAGAGGGUGACCGGACAAAUUAGGAUUGGAAUACGGCCCAGACUCCUACGGGACGCAGCAGUGGGGAAUAUAGCACAAUGGGCUGAGCCCUGAUGCAGCAAAGCCGCGCGCGGGAUGACGGCCUUCGGGUUGUAAACCGCUUUCGCCUGUGACGAAGCGUGAGUGACGGUAAUGGGUAAAGAAGCACCGGCUAACUACGUG